rnacentral:rRNA from 1 species
GAAGCUCAAAUUUAAAAUCUGGUGGUCUUUGGCCAUCCGAGUUGUAAUCUAGAGAAGUGUUACCCGCGUUGGACCGUGUACAAGUCUCCUGGAAUGGAGCGUCAUAGAGGGUGAGAAUCCCGUCUUUGACACGGACUACCAAGGCUUUGUGGUGCGCUCUCAACGAGUCGAGUUGUUUGGGAAUGCAGCUCAAAAUGGGUGGUAAAUUCCAUCUAAAGCUAAAUAUAGGCGAGAGACCGAUNGCGAA